AUGGCCUCGGCGGCUGAAGCUACAGUGGCGCAGGAUAUUGCAUCAAUUUCCAGCAGCGAUGGCCAACAGCGGGCUGUGAUCUCCGAUACGCUGUUGCCCCCCAAACAAGGUCUUGAGAUCUACAUUGGAACUAGUUUUGCAGUAAUGGCAGCUUAUGUAUUGUUGCUUAUGAUCAGUACAAGGUACAUCAAAAUAGCUGUGAUCCCGGCUAUCAUACUUGUUUUCAUUGGUGCCUUGUGGGGCAAAUUCUGUGUCAAGGGAAGGUUGCGGCAUAGCACCAAUGAAAUAGCUAACUUGGGCAGUGGCAGCGAGAAACCUCAGGGUCUGCUACUAAUGGUACUACUAUCGUACUGUCUGCAGCUAAUGCAGCUCGCCUUGGCACGUCUUGCUGAUCUGACUAAUGGACAACAAAAGGGCAAUUUUGUUGUCUCUCACUUUCUCCUCUUCUUCAGUUCUGCGCUUGGCGCUCUGGCAUUGAUGAUGGCCACACUGCCGAUCAGAUGCAGCCCAGGUGUAGCGCAGGCGCAGCAAGCGCUUCACAGGACCUUCACUGUGGUUCUUAUGAUAUCGGUGCACACCGUGGCUACAGAAUGGACAGGCGAAGACAUGGUACUGAUUUGCAUGCCGGAGCUUAUUGCGGCGCUUGUGUGGUUCACUGCUAAUUUUGAUCACGGCGGAUGUACCGUGUCCGUCAACAUGACAACAUCAGUUAAAUCAAGUGUCAUCGCUCUCGGUGGUGCUGUGACUCUGGUAGCAUACCAUAGUUCCAAGUUUUUGAACGAGAGUGAGAUACCUGCUGAGUACUGGUACACAAGGAUCUUGCGCUGCGGUACCUUAUCGGGGGUUCUAUCCUACUUUAGCGUGUGGAUGAUCCAUCAGUGGCCGGGCAGCACUGCUAGCGCGAAGAUGCCCGUUCAGCUCCUCGAUUUCUCUGCACUUUUUUGCUUCAGCACAUCAGCUAUUCUGAUUGCUAACCUGUGCACUGAACCAGGCUACAUGGAGUCUCUGUCUGCAUAUAUGACGAUGCUAGGUCAAUGGGUUAAUCCCGAACCAGGAAAUAUUUCAGAUCGUGAAGCAAUUAUAUGUUCAGCGCUAUGUAUCAUGUUCCUAUGCAUGCUCACCUUUUAUGCCUCCGGGACUGGUACAUUUUAUGAACGCAAUAUGAGCAGCAAAUUUCGAGACAGUUGGAGCAGACUCAGAGUCAUAGUUCUGGUUUUUUGUGCCCUGGUGCUGACAAGUACGUUAACGUCAUAUAUAACGUACACGUUGACAAGACAAGACCAAGAAUAA
rnacentral:rRNA from 1 species